rnacentral:tRNA from 1 species
GGCUCGGUAGCUCAGUCGGUAGAGCAAUGGAUUGAAAAUCCAUGUGUCGGCAGUUCGAUUCUGUCCCGAGCCACCA